CUGAAAGGCAGGAGUGCCCGCAAGGGAGCGCGGAGACAGGUGGUGCAUGGCUGUCGUCAGCUCGUGUCGUGAGAUGUUGGGUUAAGUCCCGCAACGAGCGCAACCCUCACCCCUUGUUGCCACCAGGUAAUGCUGGGCACUCUAGGGGAACUGCCCCGGUCAACGGGGAGGAAGGCGGGGAUGACGUCAAGUCAUCAUGCCCCUUACGUCCUGGGCUACACACGUGCUACAAUGGCCGGUACAAAGGGAUGCGACACCGCGAGGUAGAGCUAAACCCAAAAAGCCGGUCUAAGUUCAGAUUGGAGUCUGCAACUCGACUCCAUGAAGGAGGAAUCGCUAGUAAUCGCGUAUCAGCACGACGCGGUGAAUACGUUCCCGGGCCUUGUACACACCGCCCGUCACACCACGAAAGCCAG
rnacentral:rRNA from 1 species